rnacentral:rRNA from 1 species
CCUACGGGUAGCAGCAGUGGGGGAUAUUGCACAAUGGGGGAAACCCUGAUGCAGCGACGCCGCGUGUGGGAAGACGGUCCUCUGGAUUGUCAACCACUGUCCCCAGGGACGAAGAUGACGGUAGCUGGGGAGGAAGCUCCGGCUAACUACGUGCCAGCAGCCGAGGGAAUACGUAGGGAGCGAGCGUUGUCUGGAAUUACUGGGUGAACAGUGAGCGUAGGCUGGACUGAAAGUUUGUUGUCAAAUCUACCGGCUCAACCGGUAGCCGCACUCAAAACUGCAGUUCUUGAGUGAAGUAGGGGCAGGCGGAAUUCCUAGUGUAGCGGUGAAAUGCGUAGAUAUUAGGAGGAACACCAGUGGCGAAGGCGGCCUGCUGGGCUUUUACUGACGCUGAGGCUCGAAAGUGUGGGGAGCAAACAGGAUUAGAUACCCUAGUAGUC